UGGGGAAUCUUGGACAAUGGGGGCAACCCUGAUCCAGCCAUGCCGCGUGAGUGAUGAAGGCCUUAGGGUCGUAAAGCUCUUUCGCCUGUGAAGAUAAUGACGGUAGCAGGUAAAGAAACCCCGGCUAACUCCGUGCCAGCAGCCGCGGUAAUACGGAGGGGGUUAGCGUUGUUCGGAAUUACUGGGCGUAAAGCGCACGUAGGCGGACCAGAAAGUUGGGGGUGAAAUCCCGGGGGCUCAACCCCGGAACUGCCUCCAAAACUAUUGGUCUAGAGUUCGAGAGAGGUGAGUGGAAUUCCAAGUGUAGAGGUGAAAUUCGUAGAUAUUUGGAGGAACACCAGUGGCGAAGGCGGCUCACUGGCUCGAUACUGACGCUGAGGUGCGAAAGUGUGGGGAGCAAACAGGAUUAGAUACCCUGGGUAGUCCACACCGUAAACGAUGAAUGCCAGUCGUCGGGUAGCAUGCUAUUCGGUGACACACCU
rnacentral:rRNA from 1 species